UACGGGGGGGGCAAGCGUUGUUCGGAAUUACUGGGCGUAAAGGGCUCGUAGGCGGCCAACUAAGUCAGACGUGAAAUCCCUCGGCUUAACCGGGGAACUGCGUCUGAUACUGGAUGGCUUGAGUUUGGGAGAGGGAUGCAGAAUUCCAGGUGUAGCGGUGAAAUGCGUAGAUAUCUGGAGGAACACCGGUGGCGAAGGCGGCAUCCUGGACCAACACUGACGCUGAGUGAGCGAAAGCCAGGGGAGCAAACGGG
rnacentral:rRNA from 1 species